rnacentral:rRNA from 1 species
GAUGAACGCUGGCGGCGUGCCUAAUACAUGCAAGUCGAGCGAACAGACGAGGAGCUUGCUCCUCUGACGUUAGCGGCGGACGGGUGAGUAACACGUGGAUAACCUACCUAUAAUACUGGGAUAACUUCGGGAAACCGGAGCUAAUACCGGAUAAUAUAUUGAACCGCAUGGUUCAAUAGUGAAAGACGGUUUUGCUGUCACUUAUAGAUGGAUCCGCGCCGCAUUAGCUAGUUGGUAAGGUAACGGCUUACCAAGGAAACGAUGCGUAGCCGACCUGAGAGGGGGAUCGGGCACACUGGAACUGAGACACGGUCCAGACUCCUACGGGAGGCAGCAGUAGGGAAUCUUCCGCAAUGGGCGAAAGCUUGACGGAGCAACGCCGCGUGAGUGAUGAAGGUCUUCGGAUCGUAAAACUCUGUUAUUAGGGAAGAACAAAUGUGUAAGUAACUAUGCACGUCUUGACGGUACCUAAUCAGAAAGCCACGGCUAACUACGUG